GCAUGUUCCUGAAGUUGUGCUCGAUGUUUAGCCAACCCUGGUUCUUGAUGUGCAGCCUUUUAACUUCUGUGCUCGACGUGCAGUUUUUAUCCUUUUGUAUAGGCUGAUUUAUUAAGAGGUUUUACACACUGUCAGGAAAGUGGGGCAGGCAAACAUUUAUUGCUGCAGUACCUUCAAUGGGCUGAUGGCUGUGUUGGAAUGCUGAAUAUCCGGUAAAUGCAGUAUAUUACAUUGAGGCCAAUUUGGUUAUGAGUUUGAUGCAAUUAAUAAACUUCCUUUGUGGAUGUGGUUAAUAUUUGUGCUCUUUGUUUAUAGUAUCUUCUCUGUAUCUAUCAUGUUUGGUCUUGGGAUUAAGCGCUGAGAUUGGGUAACUGUGCUGAAGUUGUACUUUUGUUAAAGUAUGUUUUGUUGUUCUUUUAUUGCGGGUUAUAUUGAUGCGUAUUAACUUGAGUGUGUAGUGGCUUUGUAUAGGGCCGGGCCUGCAUCGGCACUUAACCUCCCCGGGUGUAGGUGAUUUGGGUGGAGUGGCACUGCUGUGUGGUGAUCGGCGGUGCAUAAGAGCAGGCCCGACCCUCCUUGCCAUUGAGGAGAGCUAUUUUCUACUGUUGUGGAUUUUAUUAUUGAUGCAUGUUUUUUUUUUUUUGAUUGUUUUUAAUGUUUUGCUUAGGAAUAAAAUUGUGAUAUUCAACCAACUACGUUUACGGUUUAAAAAAAAAUUAAUACUUGAUUUGUGGAGGGCUCCUCCUGCCCUAAAUAAGGAGGAGGCGUAGUCAGUUUAUAGUUUCUUACACUACAUUGAGAUGCACCUGUAUGUGUUUCUGGGUGCUCCUCAAACAGCUGCAUCCUACCGAGGCUGCGUCCUUCCUAGUUCAGUCCUUCAGAGUCUUGUAGGAUAGAGUCCUCCUUAGCAUUAAACGCUAGGAGACAGGGCUGUCCAAACUCAGUCCUGGAGGAGCCGGUGUCCUGAACAGUUUAGUUCCAACCCCGAUUAAACACCUGAACCAGCUAAUCAAGCUCCUACUACUAGGCAUACUAUU
ensembl:lncRNA